AUUGAACGCUGGCGGCAUGCCUUACACAUGCAAGUCGAACGGUAACGGGCCUUCGGGUGCCGACGAGUGGCGAACGGGUGAGUAAUACAUCGGAACGUGCCCGAUCGUGGGGGAUAACGAGGCGAAAGCUUUGCUAAUACCGGAUACGAUCUCCGGAUGAAAGCGGGGGACCGCAAGGGCUUGUCCGGACGGACGGGCCGAUGGGAGACUAGGUAGGUGGUGGGAGAAAAGCCUACCAAGCCGACGAUCUGUAGCUGGCCUGAGAGGAUGAUCAGCCACACUGGGACUGAGACACGGCCCAGACUCCUACGGGAGGCAGCAGUGGGGAAUUUUGGACAAUGGGCGCAAGCCUGAUCCAGCCAUGCCGCGUGCAGGAUGAAGGCCUUCGGGUUGUAAACUGCUUUUGUACGGAACGAAAAGCAUUCUUUUAAUACAGGAGGGUCAUGACGGUACCGUAAGAAUAAGCACCGGCUAACUACGUG
rnacentral:rRNA from 1 species